GACAAGCUGGAGGAAGUGGGGAUGACGUCAAAUCAUCAUGCCCUUUAUGACCUGGGCUACAAACGUACUACAAUGGCCAGAUACAAAGAGAUGCGAAGCCGCGAGGUGGAGCGAACCUCAUAAAAAUGGUCUCAGUUCGGAUUGGAGUCUGCAACUCGACUCCAUGAGGUCGGAAUCGCUAGUAAUCGCGGGUCAGCAGACCGCGGUGAAUACGUUCCCGGGUUUU
rnacentral:rRNA from 1 species